UAGAUGACUGAUAGAUAGGUUGCUUAAUUUUCCAGAGCAGAAAAGAAAUAACUAGAGAUCAGCCACUCAUCACAGAAGUAAUUUCCAGAUGGCCAGCUCUGCUCCAUGAGAACAGAUUUGGGCAGAGUUCAAGAGAAUUGUCGCCACAGACCUUGUGGAACUUUUUCUUGAUGGCCUUGUCCCAAGACUGCUGGAGGUGUACAAAGCAGCAACCAGGUCUGGAAUUAAGCAAUCACUCAAGGACUGAGUGACUUUGGACUGCCUUCAGAAAGAUGACACAAAUGAGGAGGUCUGGUACUUUGCU